UACGAGGGGGGCAAGCGUUGUUCGGAAUUACUGGGCGUAAAGGGCUCGUAGGCGGCCAACUAAGUCGGAUGUGAAAUCCCCAAGCUUAACUUGGGAACUGCAUCCGAUACUGGAUGGCUUGAAUCCGGGAGAGGGAUGCAGAAUUCCAGGUGUAGCGGUGAAAUGCGUAGAUAUCUGGAGGAAUACCGGUGGCGAAGGCGGCAUCCUGGACCGGCAUUGACGCUGAGGAGCGAAAGCUAGAGGAGCAAACGGG
rnacentral:rRNA from 1 species